UCUCCAUCCUUUUGUUAUUAGUUGUUACUAGAAGCCUAGUGUCAUUUGGAGGCUGGUUCUCUUGAGAGGCAAAGCCAUGGAGCUGACACUGACAAUGGCCUUCUUGUUCCAAGAAAGGCCUCCUGGUUUAGCUGUGUGACUAAAUGCUGUUUGCCCUCUUCACAAGAUUCUCUUGUUUUCUCACCAUCCCAUUUGAUAUGCUUGUUAGUAACUGUUACAGGUCUUCUUUACCACCGAGGAAAGACGGAAUCCUACUAGAGGCCAGAAAAAAAAGGGUUCCAACACGCAUAGAAGGCCCUCACUUCUGCCUGCUCUCUUCAUACCCCUGAAGGUAGGGAGUGCUCCAGGUCUGCCCCCAGGCUCCAAGGGUGGGUCUCCUAGGGG
rnacentral:lncRNA from 1 species